AUGGCCUCCUCCUCGAGGAUGCUCACGGUGGUGGUGCUGGCGGCGCUGUUCGCCGGCGCGAUGGCCGUGAAAGUGAAGUUGACGGUGCAGAAGGGGUCCGACAAAAAGAAGUUGGCGCUGAAGAUCGACUACACAAGGCCAAACGACAGCCUGUCAGAGGUGGAGCUCCGGCAGCACGGCUCAGAGGAGUGGCAGCCCUUGACCAAGAAGGGCGACGUGUGGGAGGUCUCGUGCUCCAAGCCGCUGGUUGGCCCCUUCAACUUCCGCUUCUUGUCCAAGAAUGGCAUGAAGAACGUCUUCGACGAGGUCUUCUCCACCGAUUUCAAGAUCGGCAAAACCUACCAACCGGAAUAUUGA
rnacentral:rRNA from 1 species